CCACUUAAGGGGCAGCUGUGUUUUGGGUUCUGUUCUGUUUUAAGGUUUUUCCUUUUUGCUUUGAAGCAAGCCCUACGCUUCCGGCAGUGUUUACGAGUGCUGCCUCUGUGUGGUACUGGCUGGGCUUUUGUGCUGGCUCAGUGGGCACAGAUCUCACCAGCAGCCGAGGUGGGCAGGUGGGUUCUCUGUGCUGGUCUUUGCUGCCAGUCCCAGUGGGAGAGGGGCAGACCUUUUCCACCAAACUGAAGCCAUCGAGACACAGAGUACCAGCUCUGAGGAGCUCGUCCCGAGCCCCCCAUCUCCACUUCCGCCGCCUCGGGUGUACAAGCCCUGCUUCGUCUGCCAGGACAAGUCAUCGGGCUACCACUAUGGCGUCAGUGCCUGCGAGGGCUGCAAGG
rnacentral:lncRNA from 1 species